ACGAAGGGGGCUAGCGUUGCUCGGAAUCACUGGGCGUAAAGCGCACGUAGGCGGAUCCUUAAGUCGGAGGUGAAAUCCUGGAGCUCAACUCCAGAACUGCCUUCGAUACUGGAGAUCUUGAGUCCGGGAGAGGUGAGUGGAACUGCGAGUGUAGAGGUGAAAUUCGUAGAUAUUCGCAAGAACACCAGUGGCGAAGGCGGCUCACUGGCCCGGUACUGACGCUGAUGUGCGAAAGCGUGGGGAGCAAACAGGAUUAGAUACCCUGGUAGUCCACGCCGUAAACGAUGGAUGCUAGCCGUUGGCGAGCUUGCUCGUCAGUGGCGCAGCUAACGCAUUAAGCAUCCCGCCUGGGGAGUACGGUCGCAAGAUUA
rnacentral:rRNA from 1 species